rnacentral:rRNA from 1 species
AACGUAGGACACAAGCGUUAUCCGGAGUUACUGGGCGUAAAGGGCGCGUAGGCGGUUCGUACAGUCGGGCGUGAAAUUCCUGGGCUUAACCUGGGGGCUGCGUUCGAUACGUGCGGACUAGAGUGGGGAAGAGGGUCGUGGAAUUCCCAGUGUAGCGGUGAAAUGCGCAGAUAUCGGGAGGAACACCAAUUGCGAAGGCAGCUCGCUGGGACGUCACUGACGCUGAGACGCGAAAGCGUGGGGAGCAAACAGG